rnacentral:rRNA from 1 species
UACGUAGGGUGCAAGCGUUGUCCGGAAUUACUGGGCGUAAAGCGCGCGUAGGCGGCUUUGUAAGUUAGAGGUGAAAGCCCGGGGCUCAACCCCGGAAUUGCCUUUAAGACUGCAUCGCUUGAAUCCGGGAGAGGUGAGUGGAAUUCCGAGUGUAGAGGUGAAAUUCGUAGAUAUUCGGAAGAACACCAGUGGCGAAGGCGGCUCACUGGACCGGCAUUGACGCUGAGACGCGAAAGCUAGGGGAGCGAACGGG